AUUGAACGCUGGCGGCAGGCUUAACACAUGCAAGUCGAGCGGGGUGAAGUACUUCGGUACUGAUCCUAGCGGCGGACGGGUGAGUAAUGCUUAGGAAUCUGCCUAUUAGUGGGGGACAACAUUCCGAAAGGAAUGCUAAUACCGCAUACGUCCUACGGGAGAAAGCAGGGGAUCUUCGGACCUUGCGCUAAUAGAUGAGCCUAAGUCGGAUUAGCUAGUUGGUGGGGUAAAGGCCUACCAAGGCGACGAUCUGUAGCGGGUCUGAGAGGAUGAUCCGCCACACUGGGACUGAGACACGGCCCAGACUCCUACGGGAGGCAGCAGUAGGGAAUCUUCGGCAAUGGACGGAAGUCUGACCGAGCAACGCCGCGUGAGUGAAGAAGGUUUUCGGAUCGUAAAGCUCUGUUGUAAGAGAAGAACGAGUGUGAGAGUGGAAAGUUCACACUGUGACGGUAUCUUACCAGAAAGGGACGGCUAACUACGUGCCAGCAGCCGCGGUAA
rnacentral:rRNA from 1 species